UGUGGGAGUGAUUUCUUAUUAAUAAAGAAACUGCCUAGGCCCCUUGAUAAGGCCCACCCUUAGGUGGGUGGAGAAAACAGGAGAAUUCUGGGAGAAGGAGUCUUGGUGGAGAGUCGCCAUGAUGCUCCCACUCCAGACAGACGCAGGUUAAGAUCCUCUCUGGACUUUUCAUGACAAGGAGACACGUCUGCUCCUGGCAGCACCAGCUACUUCAAGAGGAAGAUGGGCAUCGAAGAGGAUCCUUAUGGAGUUGGAUAGUCAUUUGGGCAAGAAACUGCUCUUGCCUGGACUGUUGCAUAAACUGGACACAGAGAACCCUCAGAGAGAGGACUGCUAAACUUGCCUAACGGUGAGAUGGUCUUUCGGGUUUCCUGAUUCAUAAAAGAGUCUGUGAGACAUUCUGCAGGACGCAAUGGAGAGUAACUAAACUGUCUUUGGAAUUUCCUGCUUCGUGGAGAUGUCUGCUGGAUACUAUGGGCCUGUAGGCCAAAGAUGGAUGCCCCAACGGUACAGAGGAACUUUGGGUGACUGUCCAGGCAGCGAGAUGUCUCUGUCAUUUCUAGAGUUUUCUUACUCAAGUAUUAUUAUAUCCUUCUGGAGUCUUUGAUGGAGUUGAAGAAUGAAUAGUUAUAGUUUUCCUUAGUUAUGAUAAGAGAUAAAAUAGAUAUAAAUAUUGUAACUGUAAUUCUUACUUGAUAACUGUUUUGUUAUAUGUAAUUUUGCUAUGUUAAAGUUAAAGCCUUUCUUUUUUGUUUAAACAGAAAAAGGGGAAUUGAUGUGGGAGUGAUUUCUUAUUAAUAAAGAAACUGCCUAGGCCCCUUGAUAAGGCCCACCCUUAGGUGGGUGGAGAAAACAGGAGAAUUCUGGGAGAAGGAGUCUUGGUGGAGAGUCGCCAUGAUGCUCCCACUCCAGACAGACGCAGGUUAAGAUCCUCUCUGGUAAGCCAGCUCAUGGGCUACACAGAAUAUUAGAAAUGGGUUAGAACAAUAUGUAAGAGCUAGCCAAUAAGAAACUGGACCUAGCCGGCCAGACAGUGUUUGAAAGAA